UAUAAAAGAUGAUCUAAAGGUGUAUAGGUACCAAGAAAGGCGAGUCCUUUCACGCCAAGGAUACACCUACGAUCCAAUAGAAAUGACCAUAGUUGUAUCCUUGUGGUAUCCUUUACAGAUCUUUACAGGCACGAAAUUUAGAGCAUUUUGAGAUAUAUGCAAUGAAUGAUAACGGUGGAUGGACGUGAAGUGAAUCCUUUCAAAGAAUACAGCUACAAUCUAAUGGAAUGGAUCUUACCUUUCACUCUGCUUGCUUUUAGAUUUGUGCAGCUGGAUGAUCUAACAAUGGUUGAUGGGUGCGAAGGAUGGUGGAUCCUCCUUUUGUUCGACGGGCACAACCGUAGAAUGGACUGCAUCACCCGAAAGAAGGAUUCACCUUGCAUAGCCAUGCCACCGGUCGCGCACGAAGUUGGAAGACAAAUUUCAAAUCCUAUGAGAGAGCUGCAAUUGAAGGUUUGCAUCAUCUCGCAACAAAAUCACUGGGCAAUACCUUCGAAACAUUCAAAUCUGGCCUCACACGGAUGAACAUAAAGUACCAAUUGGGGGUCAGGCAACUAAAAUUCAUUAUUACGGAGCAGUUGCAAGCAAAAUUUGUUCUGCUUGACCCGGCCAGCCUCUGCUGAGCCUGAGAUAUUUAGUGACAUGUUCUUCGAGAGAGAGCCGUGGUGGGGUCACUGUAGGGCAAGAAAUCCAGACGAAAGCCGGUGAACUCUCAACCUCCACCACCAGUUUGGAUAAUUCCGGAAACN
rnacentral:lncRNA from 1 species